rnacentral:tRNA from 1 species
GGACGGGUAGCCAAGUGGUUUAAGGCGGCUGUCAAAAACCUUAGUUGUUUAGGCAAUUCUAAUUAUAGAAAUUAGCUGACUUGCCUGUAAAGGCUGAAAAGUUGAGGAUUAUCGCCAAAACAGUUAUUCGGAGGUUCAAAUCCUCCUCCGUUCC